rnacentral:tRNA from 1 species
UGCAUCGGCCGGGAAUCGAACCCUGGCCGCCCGCGUGGCAGGCGAGCAUUCUACCACCGAACCACCAAUGC